ensembl:lncRNA
AUGGGCUAUGGUAAGGGAGGCAGCAAUCAAGUAAAGAGUUUUAUCUUCUAGAAGCUCACAUGUAAUGGAGAAUUCAAAAAUAUCACCCGGAAAAAUAUCAACAACAAUCCAAAAGUUUAUAUUGGUUGGUAGAAAAUAUAGUAGUAAUACAUACCAGGACCUAGGCAAGGAGUGUUUUGUGAAUGAAGAAAGAAAAAGCAUAGGUUAACUGUCAAAAGUCCCCAGAGAGACUGAACUUUGCUAGGACCAGGAAAUAUGGAGAAGAAUUGGACAGGUAUGGAGAAAUGGAGAUGUUCUGAGAAGGAGAAAAGGAAAGAGGAAAAGGGAAAAGAUGGGCAAGGGCAAGGUUUGCUUAGAAGGUAAGAAUGAGUGACAACAAAGUGUAUUUCUGUGUCCUGCUUUGUCACAUAAGUGAUGAUACUUGUUUAUGGAUUAUGGUGUCCUUACUAUGAGACUGGAAGGGGAAUGUGAAGAAAGAAUCAAACAAAAUGCAAGAGUACUUAUGGUCCCAUAUCCUUAUUCCUUUUCAAGAUUAUUGUGUGCUUCUCAGCAUUCUUACAAUGUGUGUAGAUACAACCCAAGGCUGGAGCUCAGAGAACUGCCUCCCUCCCUCCAACCCACUCCAUGCAAUGCCUUGCUUCCCUCAAAAUCACAGAAAUACAACUUGGAAAAGUUUGGCUUUGGGUGAACAUUCUUAUAUCCAGCUGCAGUCUAUUUCUUGCAUCCCAUCUGCCCCAAUUUGGAGCUGCUAGGCAUGUGCCGCACUUGGGGUAUUUGACAAACUGACACUCUACCACAUGGAGUGUCCAACUCAGCUUGUCAAAUACACGGAGUGUGGCACUGCAGGACAUCAGGUCAAGGGCUUCUGUGGGAUGAUGAGAUUUUCCUGAAAGAUGUGAUCCUGGAAGGAAAGAAAGGAAUCAGUGGUGAAGUCACACUGUGAGCCUCAGAGAACCUGAAGAGUUUAAAAGGAGCACCUAAAACACUGGGACAGGGAAGUAAACAAAAUAGGCAUUAGGCCCCUAAUCAGAAGAGGAAUCCUAAGUGAUCAUCUGGAGUUCUUCUGACCUAAGUACUAUAGCUAUAGCAUUUUCAGGGAUUCCAAGGCUCCGUGGGUUCUUCUAUGCAGCAGAGAGGUAAUAAUUUGGUCAUCAUUCUUCCCCAUGAUUUGUAGAAAGGAUCGGACUCCAGAGUCAGUAUCCUUGCCCUCCUCUUCUUCCCAAUUCUCCCAAACUGUGUUCUCACAGUGUUGUGGUCAUGCACCACAGACUUUUAAGUUAAAUAUGGACUUGAAUCCUAGCUCUGCCCUUAAAUAGCUGGUAACAUUAGAUGAAUUAUUUCACCUCUGUGAGCUCUAGUUUUCCACAGCAACAAAAUAUGUAUAAGGACCUAGGUGUGGUGCUAUAAUCCUAGCACUUCUGGAAGGUUGAAACAGGAAGAUCACAAGUUUUAUCCCAGCCUAGAAAACUU